UCUGCUCAGCUGUGGGGCCACAGAAGGCAGGACGCCCUGACCAUGUUCACCAUGGCCUGGUCCCCUCUGCUCCUCACCCUGGUCACUCUCUGCACAGGAUCCUGGGCCCAGGCAGUGGUGACUCAGCCACCCUCCAUGUCUGGAUCCCCGGGCCAGAGGGUCACCAUCACCUGCACUGGGACCAGCAACAACAUCGGGGGUGGUUAUUAUGUGGGCUGGUUCCAACAGCUCCCAGGAUCGGCCCCCAGACUGCUCAUCUAUGCUACUACCACUCGAGCCUCGGGGGUCCCGGACCAAUUCUCCGGCUCCAGGUCAGGCAACACGGCCACCCUGACCAUCAGUUCGCUCCAGGCUGAGGACGAGGCAGAUUAUUACUGUGCAUCUGCUGACGGUAGGAGCUUUGAUGGCACAGUGCUCCAGGCCAGGGGGGAAGUGAGACAAAAACCUGCUCUGCUCCAGACAUGGGCCUCCCGGGGCUGAACCAUCCUUUGCCAA